rnacentral:rRNA from 1 species
AUACGGAGGGUGCGAGCGUUACUCGGAGUCACUGGGCGUAAAGCGUCCGUAGGCGGUCGGGUAAGUCGGGUGUGAAAGCCCCGGGCUCAACCUGGGAAGUGCACCCGAUACUGCUCGACUCGAGUGCGGGAGAGGAUGGCGGAAUUCCCGGUGUAGCGGUGAAAUGCGUAGAGAACGGGAGGAACACCAGUGGCGAAGGCGGCCAUCUGGCCCGCAACUGACGCUGAGGGACGAGAGCGUGGGGAGCAAACAGGAUUAGAUACCCUAGUAGUCC